rnacentral:rRNA from 1 species
UACGUAGGGGGCAAGCGUUGUCCGGAAUCAUUGGGCGUAAAGAGCGCGUAGGCGGCCCGAUAAGUCCGCCGUGAAAGUCCAGGGCUCAACCCUGGAAUGCCGGCGGAAACUGUCGGGCUGGAGUCCGGAAGAGGCGAGUGGAAUUCCUGGUGUAGCGGUGAAAUGCGCAGAUAUCAGGAGGAACACCAAUGGCGAAGGCAGCUCGCUGGGACGGUACUGACGCUGAGACGCGAAAGCGUGGGGAGCAAACAGG